rnacentral:rRNA from 1 species
AUGACGUUGGGAAAGCGAGCGGCGGAUGGGUGAGUAACACGUGGGGAACCUGCCCCUAAGUCUGGGAUACCAUUUGGAAACAGGUGCUAAUACCGGAUAAUAAAGCAGAUCGCAUGAUCAGCUUUUGAAAGGCGGCGUAAGCUGUCGCUAAGGGAUGGCCCCGCGGUGCAUUAGCUAGUUGGUAAGGUAACGGCUUACCAAGGCGACGAUGCAUAGCCGAGUUGAGAGACUGAUCGGCCACAUUGGGACUGAGACACGGCCCAAACUCCUCCGGGAGGCAGCAGUAGGGAAUCUUCCACAAUGGACGCAAGUCUGAUGGAGCAACGCCGCGUGAGUGAAGAAGGUUUUCGGAUCGUAAAGCUCUGUUGUUGGUGAAGAAGGAUAGAGGUAGUAACUGGCCUUUAUUUGACGGUAAUCAACCAGAAAGUCACGGCUAACUACGUGCCAGCAGCCGCGGUAAUACGUAGGUGGCAAGCGUUGUCCGGAUUUAUUGGGCGUAAAGCGAGCGCAGGCGGAAAAAUAAGUCUAAUGUGAAAGCCCUCGGCUUAACCGAGGAACUGCAUCGGAAACUGUUUUUCUUGAGUGCAGAAGAGGAGAGUGGAACUCCAUGUGUAGCGGUGGAAUGCGUA